UGCUUCCCCCUUGGACCACAAUUGCCCAUCCCUCUUACCUUUUACCCAGCAUCAAGAUCUUCGGACUGGCAAUUUCUCCCUUUUCUGUCAGUCUACGGGACACUGUCCCCACCCCCCAUCUCCAGGCUUCACUUCCCUUUUUCAAAAAUCUUGGCAGCAUCGUCAGUUUCUUCUCAGAUAUGGCAGAAAAAUAGGAAACGACUGAUUUGCAAACAGCGGUUUGGCUCCUCUCUAGUUCCUGUGAUCUGCGUCCUCUGCUCCUGUGCCCAAGCCCUGGAAAGUCAGGUGCAUGGCCGUGCUGACGUGUGCCACUGCACACCCACGGUCUCCGCCAGGCUGACGUGUGCCACUGCACACCCACGGUCUCCGCAUCAGCCGGCCCCCCUCUGCUGCCUUGCUGUCUGUGUGCUGGUCUCAGGUCGUCUGCCACCGCCGUACCCAACAGCAGUUGUCAGAAGGCUUCUCCUCGAGCCUCCUUCUCUUCUGUCCUCUGACUCGGAGCCGCUGUCCCCGAUUUCUACUCAGAGGGACAAGGCAGGCGCUGGGCUUCACCCCUCGUCCUCUGCUGAGGACAGACCCAGGAGCGUGCCUCCCCUCCUCCCCUCCUUUCCUCUGCCUCUCUUCUCGGCCCUUCUCUUCUGUGCUCCGGAUCCCUUUCUCUCCUCACUGUCACUUAUCCUUUCCACUUUACCUUCCACCUCUUAUUUUCCGUGCCCGCUUCUGCCCAACAUAGAACCCUUCAUAGAAUACAUCUUCAGUACUCAGGGCGAAGGCCCCUUCUUCACUGGCAUCCUCUCUGGUGUCCCGCUCCUUUCAGCCGGGCUCUCUGAGAAGCAGGUUUCACGCCCUUCUCGCGCUGCCUACCUCGCUGCUGCCUCUUCCCUGCGUUCCUCAGCUCCUUCAGUGAAGGGUUUGCCCUCCUUUCCACUAAGGUUUCUCUCUCAGAUAAUCAGUGGCCUCCCAACUGCCAACCCUCGUGAUCGUGAUCAACUCUUAGACUUUCCACACUUGAUUUCUCCGCAGUGUCUGACGUCGUCGUUGAAUUCUACCCGCUUCUGGGGAGGCGCUGGCUCGCUCUCUCUCCCUUCCGGGAUAUGGCUCUCUCUUGGUUAUCUUUCUGCCUUUUUGACCCCUCCCUCCCUCUCCCUCUCUGCUUUCCCCUCCUCCUCUACCGUCCCUCAGACGUUGGCAUCCUCUGGGCUUCCGCCUGGGCCCUCUCCCUCCCCCCUCUCGCAACCCCCCUCCAGGAACUCAUUUGCUAUCCUGGCUCUAACCACCCUCUGCUUUCUGAUGACUCCACGGUGCUGGCUUCCAGGCCCACUGGACCAGAGCAGCAUGGAGCAGCCACUCGCUGGCUAG
rnacentral:lncRNA from 1 species